CGCCGACCCGGAGACGUUCGCCAAGAACCGGGAGCUGGAGGUGAUCCACUCCCGGUGGGCGAUGCUGGGCGCGCUCGGCUGCGUCUUCCCGGAGCUCCUCGCCCGGAACGGCGUCAAGUUCGGCGAGGCCGUGUGGUUCAAGGCGGGCUCGCAGAUCUUCAGCGAGGGCGGGCUCGACUACCUCGGCAACCCGAGCCUGAUCCACGCGCAGAGCAUCCUCGCCAUCUGGGCGGUGCAGGUGGUGCUCAUGGGCGCCGUCGAGGGGUACCGCAUCGCCGGCGGGCCGCUCGGCGAGGUCGUCGACCCGCUCUACCCCGGCGGCGCCUUCGACCCGCUCGGCCUCGCCGAUGACCCCGAGGCGUUCGCGGAGCUCAAGGUGAAGGAGAUCAAGAACGGCCGCCUCGCCAUGUUCUCCAUGUUCGGCUUCUUCGUCCAGGCCAUCGUCACCGGCAAGGGCCCCCUCGAGAACCUCGCCGACCACCUCGCCGACCCCGUCAACAACAACGCCUGGGCGUACGCCACCAACUUCGUCCCCGGCAAGUGAAGUGGGGGACCGUAGCUUAGCAGUGGUUAAUUGUGGUUGGAUGGAUUUGUGGCCAGCGAGUUCGUUGUCUUUGGGUUGGGGAAGAUGGGUUUAGUGCGACGAGAU
rnacentral:lncRNA from 1 species